AUGUGCACUAAUACCCGCAUGAAAACAAUAGGGAACUACAAAUUUGUUCUCAAGCAAAAUUUUGAGCCGAACUAUACUAAUCAUUGGAUCAACUUAAUACCACACAUUAAAUUCUGUAGUACUACGAUGUACUGUAAAAAGUUCUGUUUUUCUAUCCACAUUGAACAAAACCAGCAAGGGGGCAGCAUAGCAUGUAGUACUAAUGUUGAUAUUCUUUUUCAGGAACAGAGAGCAAUAGCAGUGUCUUGUUCUUGGGCAGCCUGCAAGCAACGGAGUGCUCGGAACAGGAAACGUCCCCGACCCAUCGAUGCCAACGAAUCAGCCGCGGCAGAAUCACAUCCGUCGGAAUCCGAAAAUGAUGGCGGCUCUACGCGGCAUAUAUCCAACACCAUGUCCAACUUCUGCGAUGGAAAGAGGAAGGCCGUCACCGAGAUCGGAUUCGGCGGAGUUCUACACAUGCCGAUGAAUGGCAAUGCCAACCUCAGGCACGCCGUGUCACUUCUCAGCAGAGUUGAUCUGAAUUCUGGAACCCUGCCCGUUGGGAAAGAUGUCAGGGUCCAAAUGAGCCCAGAGCACAUAGAGAGGCUGAUAGGCACGCCCUCGAGAGGACGAAGAGUCUGUGGACUGGACCCGGACACUCCGGAAGAGAGGACGGACUUCGUGAGGCUCGCCAUGGGCUCACAACGGUUCUACAAUGACGGGCUGAAGGCUGCCGAGCUUGUUGUCCGGCGGGAGUGGGACGGGUCGGUCACCGCCGAGAGGGUGGAGGAGUUCAAAGUAGCAUUUGUCGUCUGGAUCGUCGGGCGUUUUCUUGCUCCGUCCACGAAGCAUGAUGAUCAUGGCUGCUCGGAUUUCUGGGGCUCGCUCUACAACGCGAAUGAGAUCAGAGAAUACAACUGGAGCGCGUAUUUCCUUGCACACAUCAUGGGUGCUGCAGCAAGGGUUCAGUCAGACAUCAAGAACAAGAGGGCUACGACUGCAAUGUUGAUCAGUGGUUGCCCACUUCUCCUACAGUUGUACGACUUGUACCUUCGGCCCCUGAGAAAGCCACAAUUAGUGUCCCCUCGUGUCAAGGACUACGACAGCGAGACACUCGUCAACAAGAUGAUCAGUGCCGACACGCUACCCAAGAUUUCGGCACAAGGGGAGCCAUCCUUCGGAGCAUGUGGCCCCCGCUGCCGCGAAGAGUCAUGCUACAUGACCAUGGAUCCAGGACAACCAAGCUCAUCCCAUGUUUUGAGGCCAGGUCAGGGUGCACCCGAAACCCCCCGGGUCCAAGUAACAAAUCAAGUCCCACCGAUCCUCCAACCCUAUAAUGCAUACGACUUCUGUGGAUUUCUAAAAGGGAGAUACCCGGACAUGAUGGAUUCUGAAUUGGUAGACCAUUUGAAGUUCCACAAUGCCAGAUGCAUUCUGCACUCUAGCAUAUUCAAGAACUCUAUCAUCACCGAGAACAUGAAACUUGCGGCCAAAAUACUAGACACGCAGAGACAGCGAAAGAAGCAAGCGCCUGCCCGGGCUCGUGUUUUAGAAGACUACUUCACCGCUAGUGAUUCUGAAACCGAAGCGGAGAACAAACGAGCCAGGACUCAUGAAAAGAGCAAGCUACCACCUCUUUGCCGCCAUGUCGUCCAACGCCUCCACCUACUCAACCCUCUUCACCGUCGACCCCGCGGAAAUCCGCGACAUCAACGUCCAUGCACGCGUUCCCGUCGUCCUCGACGCCUCCAACUCCACGUACUUCACGUGGAAGACGUACUUCACGCUGCUCUUCCGCGAGAACAACCUCAUGGAUCACGUGGAUGGCACCGUUGA
rnacentral:rRNA from 1 species